GGGAGAAGGGAGAGCGGGAUAUGAUAAAACAGACUGAAAGCCAUUAAUAUGUAUAGCUCGGGGGGGAGAAGGGAGAAGGGGAUAUGAUAAAACAGACUGAAAGCCAUUAAUAUGUAUAGCUCGGGGGGAGAAGGGAGAGGAGGAUAUGAGAAAACAGACUGAAAGUCAUUAAUAUGUAUAGCCCGGAGGGGAGAAGGGAGAGGGGGAUAUGAUAAAACAGACAGAAAGCCAUUAAUAUGUAUAGCUCGAGAGGAGAAGGGAGAGGGGGAUAUGAUAACACAGACUGAAAGCCAUUAAUAUGUAUAGCUCGGGGGGAGAAGGGAGAGGGUGAUAUGAUAAAACAGACUGAAAGCCAUUAAUAUGUAUAGCUCGGGGGGAGAAGGGAGAGGAGGAUAUGAUAAAACAGACUGAAAGUCAUUAAUAUGUAUAGCCCGGGGGGGAGAAGGGAGAGGGGGAUAUGAUAAAACAGACAGAAAGCCAUUAAUAUGUAUAGCUCGAGAGGAGAAGGGAGAGGGAGAUAUGAUAAAACAGACUGAAAGCCAUUAAUAUGUAUAGCUCGAGAGGAGAAGGGAGAGGGGGAUAUGAUAAAACAGACUGAAAGCCAUUAAUAUGUAUAGCUCGGGGGGAGAAGGGAGAGGGGGAUAUGAUAAAACAGACUAAAAG